rnacentral:rRNA from 1 species
AUUGAACACUGGCGGCAGGCCUAACACAUGCAAGUCGAGCGAGCGGCGGACGGGUGAGUAAUGUCUGGGAACCUGCCUGAUGGAGGGGGAUGACUACUGGAAACGGUAGCUAAUACUGCAUACCAUCAGAUGUGCCCAGAUGGGAUUAGCUAGUGGGUGGGGUAACGGCUCACCUAGGCGGCGAUCCCUGGCGGGUCUGAGAGGAUGACCAGCCACACUGGAACUGAGACACGGUCCAGACUCCUACGGGAGGCAGAAGUGGGGAAUAUUGCACAAUGGGGGCAAGCCGGAGACAGCCAUGCCGCGUGUGUGAAGAAGGCCUUCGGGUGGUAAAGCACUUUCAGCGGGGAGGCGUUACCCGCAGAAGAAGCACCGGCUAACUCCGUGCCAGCAGCCGCGGUAAUUC